AAUAAUAGAAGAAACAGUGAGCCAAACCUGUGGGUGAACUGCUCUAUAAACACCAUUACAAGAGAUUUGAAGGCAUCCGCACACCCAUCUCCAAUCUAAUCAGGAGUAUCAUCUCUAGAUUGCCGAGCAGAUAUGCUUCGCUGCACGAUUUGUGGGCCUCAACUCCAAGCUGAUAAUUUUAAGGUCGCAUGGCCGGAGCUUGUAGGAGUCCCAGCUCUGGAAGCAGAGAGAGUGAUCAAGAAAGACAAUCCCUUGGUGGACACAAUCGAGAAAAAGACUGCACCUGUUGUUCUCCCAGUCAAAUGUUGCAACCGUGUGAUUCUUGUGCUGGACUCACUUCCAAAUGGCAAAGUCAUUCAAGUCCCUCUCGUUGGAUAGGUCUCAAAUGCCAUGUUACCAAGUUAUGCGUGUGACUAAAUGCCGCAUAAGCUUUCUCAAAAUGGUCGAUCGGAAUGUCGAAGCUCAUAUCUGAUGAUAUAAUAAAACAGAUUUCGCUGUCCUCUCA